GCUCUUCAUUGGUAACGCCUAAGAUAAUUCAUCACCAGAACAUAGAUUAUUAUAGUGGUAUAAAUAAAGCAGUAACUUAAAUAAGACGGGUUGUAUUGCGGAAUGGAUAAAAGAACAGAGCAAGAAUAAUUCCAGUGACUAGCCAUGUGGCAAGUGGUUUCUCAGCAAGUAGUCCGUCAUGCUGGACCGAAUGUACUCUUUCAAAUGAAGAUGCACCUUAAACCAUCAUCUGAAAUUAUACAGCUGCUUCCUGAUGUGUACAGCAUAUAUGUAGAGUCUUCUAUUCCAUGCACAAUCCACAGGCGACAUAUACUAGAAUUGAGUGCGCAACCUCCAAGUAUAGAUCUACCGAGAUCAUUUAGAAGUUUAACACAUACCAGCAAUAGCACGGAGGAGACAAUUAACCUAAAACUAACACGUGAAAACUUAUCAAACUUAUCCAGAAUUAUGACUGAACUCAGCCUCAGGUGAUAGGCAAAGAGGAGACAUUUGAACAACUAACAUGUGAAAAUUUAGCCAACUUAUCCUGAAUUGUUUCUGAACUCAGUCUCAGGUGAUGAUGCUAGCCAUUGCAGAGUACAACAUAACACAUCCAUCAUGAACAAUUUUUCUCUGAUUUAAUUUCUGUUCAUUUUCAAGCCUGGGUGACAUAACUGCCAUGAGCACCGGUGCUAUAGAAGUCUCUAGCAUUAUUAUUUAUCAAGUGGAAUAAUUACUUACUGUACUGAAGUUGUUGGCGCUUGGGCAAGGCACUUUAUCUACAGUUGCCUAUCUCCACCAAGGAGUACAAGUGGGUACCUAGUAGGUUCGAACACAACUGCGCUGAUUACUAGCUACAAUAUUAUGGAAUAAUAAUAUAAUUUAAUUUAAUAAUUUAAUUUGGUCUUGAGUAUGUGUUCCAUAUGUGUUUGAUCCAAUGACCGGGGUAGUAAUUUGAUGCGCUUGGAGGCUUUGUGUAUGAAGCGCUAUAUAAGAACAACAUAUUAUUAUUAUUAUAUCUGCUAGGUGAUUGACUUAAUUCUCAUCAUCUGUAUUCCAGUGGAUUUCUGAAGAGAAGACAGUACAGUAAUUGACUAAUAAAAAUGAAUUGCCAUUCAAAUGACUAUCUCCUGGGCAGUGGCGUAUCUAGGGGAGGGUGCGGGGGGCCCCAAAAAAUUGCGGGGGCCCCAAAAAUCACAGUCAAGUAGUUAAAAAUCACCUAAAUUCACCAUAUUUUAGAAAUUAGCGCCCCUCAACUGAUUAUCGAGCCCCCCCCCCCAUUUUAAAGCUUCUAGAUACGCCACUGCUCCUGGGCAGCCAGGCUACAUUUCUGGCUGUUCUUUGUGAUGUGCACAAGUUAUGCUACAAGAUGCAAAUUGCAUACUGUGUUUAGGAACCUUGGUGUAUGUACUCCACACAAGUUUCCAAAGAGACGUGUUGAUCGAUGUGCAGUGUCAUCUCACAUUGUAUACUAGUAUAAAUUUAAGAAUAUUGAAAUUUGUAAAUAGCAAAUUAUAAAUUAUAUUUAUAAUGUCAUGUAUAUUUAUUGCCAGAUGUGAACAACAUUUAUAUGUGUUCAGAGAAAAAUAAAAUGUUAAACCUAAAAUUA
rnacentral:lncRNA from 1 species